CCUACGGGUGGCAGCAGUGAGGAAUAUUGGUCAAUGGACGUAAGUCUGAACCAGCCAUGCCGCGUGAGGGAUGACGGCUCUAUGAGUUGUAAACUGCUUUUAUACAAGAGUAAAGCUUAGUACGUGUAUUAAGCUGAAUGUACUUUACGAAUAAGGAUCGGCUAACUCCGUGCCAGCAGCCGCGGUAAUACGGAGGAUCCGAGCGUUAUCCGGAUUUAUUGGGUUUAAAGGGUGCGUAGGCGGAUUGAUAAGUUAGAGGUGAAAUGUCCGAGCUUAACCCGGGAACUGCCUCUAAUACUGUUGAGCUUGAGUGUAGAUGCGGUAGGCGGAAUGUAUGGUGUAGCGGUGAAAUGCUUAGAGAUCAUACAGAACCCCGAUUGCGAAGGCAGCCUGCCAAGCUAUAUCUGACGUUGAGGCACGAAAGCGUGGGGAGCAAACAGGAUUAGAUACCCGGGUAGUC
rnacentral:rRNA from 1 species